GACGAACGCUGGCGGCGUGCCUAACACAUGCAAGUGGAGCGACGAACCGGGCUUUUAGCCCGGGGCAAAGCCGCGAACGGGUGAGUAACACGUGGGUAACCUGCCCUGAUGACCGGGACAACCCGAGGAAACUCGGGCUAAUACCGGAUGUGCCCUCCGACUGCAAGGUCGACGGGGAAAGGAAGCUUCGGCCUCCGCAUCGGGAUGGGCCCGCGGCCCAUUAGCUUGUUGGUGAGGUAACGGCUCACCAAGGCGACGAUGGGUAGCUGGUCUGAGA
rnacentral:rRNA from 1 species